UUUUUUUUUUUAAAUGAUUUUAUGAAUUAAUCAGUUCUAUUGCAGAAUAAAAUUCAAAGGGAGACAUAUACACGAUGUUUAACAUUUAUUUUUACCUUUUUAAAUUGACUAAUAAUGUGUGCAGGUUCUGCUGUAAAUCAGGACUCGAUGCUCUGCUAGUUUUCUCUAAACGGCUAAUCAGCUAGCACUCGGUCUCAAGUUUGCAGAAUUAUUGAGUUAAUCGUUUAGGAGGAUUCACUGUACUGGCUGCUUCUCACAUUAGACUGUCAUCCCAGACCCUGUGAGGAAACAGGAAACAGAAGAGCCUUCCCUAACAGAAAAAAGUACUGGACAGAGACCAAAGCAGGUUUUCUCUCCAGCAAAGAGCAGUGUGCUACUGCUAAAAUAAACAUGUAACAGGGAACCCGGGAUGCAGUGUCCGUUUAAAUGGAGGCAACACAAACCCCACAAAUUGUAACUAAUACUGUAUGCUCUGCUCCUGAGAGUCUGUUAAGACCCAGACAGGAAGCCUUAAUAUGUCAACUCUAAAUCCUCAUGUUUCUCCCUAAUGAGAAUAGCAGUGUAGACUUGACUUGAAUAAUUAUGACAGCGCUAAUAUAAGAAAAAAGGCAGGCCUCAACCGUACCCGUGUCAGACCCCCCAUAUUCAUUCAUACAGGCCAACUGUCAACACCGCAGCCCAGCAGCUGCCGAGUACCUCAAACAUGCACGCUUUUCAGAGGAUUAAACAGGAGGAGGUGACAGAAUAUAUUUAGUGUGAUGAUUGAAUGAAUGUAGGAGGACUGUUGCGACAGGAUUUGUAUAAUGCCCAAGUUAAUAAGAAUAAUUUUACUAAUGUAUUUCUUUUAUUAAAUUUAUAAUGAUUCUCUAA